AAGUCAGUUCUGCUUUCAAUUCUUCAAAUUCCCUUUGCGAAAGUAGCCCGAAGAAUCAAACAAUUGAAAAGAAUUUUAUUUUCACAAAGAAACUUAAUUGGACUCAGGCAGUCAAAAAAAGCAUAGCCAGUCAACGAGAAUUGCAGCUUUUGGAAAUUUAUAUCCAAAAAAAGAUCAAAAUGGAGGAAACUACGGCUGCAGACAGUGAAAGAUCCGUAAUGGAUACCCAAAGAGUACUAGUGGAAAUUGAUAUACCCGACAUGGUUCAAUUGUUACCCACGUUCGAUGGUGACCAGUAUACACUUUCUGAUUUUAUUGGGAGUGUAGAAGAUAUGGCGCCAUUUCGAUGCGGGUCACUGAUUAUGCCUACCCAAAAAGGAUGCUGGCGCGGGA